AUAUUUAAAUGAAUUAGACCGUAUAAAUCUGUCUAACAAAGCCGUAGAUGCUUGCCUCGACGUUUACCAGAAAAUAUUGAAAAGUCUGAUCGCUUCUGACAAUGAUAUCGAGAUGUUAUCUUUACUUGUUGAUAUAUUUAAAGCCUACCGAAAGUGCGUCAAACACAUGCAAGUGAAGGAAGAAGCUUUCGCCAAAGCUCUAGUUGAUGCCUAUAAAAUAUUUAUCCAACAUAAAACAACGUUACCAGAUAACGCCAACCUCUUGGAAUUAGCUGUUAAACUCUGCACGUAUGAAAUAAACUAUCGAAAAACAAUGGAUAAGCUGUCUGGAAUAAACAAAACGACAUCUUCGGGAGCAGAUACUGCAGCAACUAUAAUUACACCAAUGCGACCGAUUUCAACGAACACAGAACACAAAACUAUGCAAUAUGACAACAAGAAAAGAUUUCUUGAUACAAUGCAGAAGAAGGGGAAUUUUCCUGCGCAUAUCCUGAACUAUAUUAGAGGCAUCCACAAACUCCUCGAAGAACGUAGUCAGUCCAUACGAAAACUACAGGGUAUAGUCGAAAGGACUAAGAAGGCUUUGUUAAACGUGGAAAUACAACACACAUUCCAUCGAAUAAAAACACUAAAACGAGAGUUGGAUUGGAUCAAACACGAUAUCGAAAAUAGCAUCAACGACGACAUAACACAACGUUUCGUAACAACCCAAAACCAAUCAUUCCUCAGUAAAUCCCAAAUUCAAAUACGCAGAACAACCGCAAAAAUCGAAAGAAUAAUAACCAAAUCAGCAGGCAACAAUCAACAUACACCAACAACUAACCAGAGGGCUUUACUUAACACUACCACCAAAUCCGCACCCUCAGAAAUGAUGGCUCUGUUGAGCUUUGGACCAAACUUCUCCCUUCCUGUGUUUCCAAACCAAAUUCCGACAUACCACCUCAUCGCAAACAUCGAGAACAUUCUACGGACUUCUCCCAACAAAUUCAUCCAAGACAAGAAAAGAUGUCUAGUAGCAAAUCAUAUUCAAAAUUAUCUUUCACGAUCACUAUAAAACCAACAGAAAGAUUGCGUCACAGUUUUCUGUCAGAAAGCUGUCAAAGUCACAAAACAAUUCUUAACCGACAACCCAGAUAUAUGCAUCCUAAAGUUUGAUAAAGGAAAAAGAACGGUGAUAAUGGAAACGAAAUAUUACGAUACGAAGAUGCUGUCACUUCUUGAUGAUUCAACUUACAAAGUGCUACCUAGAAAUCCAAACAGCUUGCUUUCAACGCCUAAACAACUCAUUUGUGGAUCGCCUUCUCAAUCUCAAACUCACAUACAAAAGUACAGCCAAUUAUCUGAAACCAUACACAUCCAUCUGCUCACGGAUUUAUGGACAACCCAAGGCUCACAAACCAGGUUUACCGCUCCACCCGGUAGUACCAAACAUAACAGCCCCGACAUACAAUCUCUCUAAAUACAUUGCCAACAUUCUUCAAAGAGCAAUACGCAGUGAAUACAACAUCAAAGAUAGUUUCCAAUUCGCCGAAGAAAUCAACCAAGUUACACUCCCCAUGGACUACGUACUAGUAUCCUUCGACGUCGUGUCCCUCUUCACAAACAUACCCAACGAUCUAAUCCUUCACGAUAUUAUAAUGGAGUGGGAAAAUAUUCGCACAGAAACCAACAUCAACCUGGAUCUCUUUUUCGAACUAGUAGAAUUUUACCUCAACAACGGUUAUUUCUGCUUUCGAGAAAAAUUCUAUAAGCAAACCUUCGGCACCGUCAUGGGCAGCCCUCUUUCGCCUAUCCUUGCAGACAUCAUCAUGGAAAAUUUGCUAAAAACAAUCACCCGCGAGCUUCCUUUCGAAAUUCCUGUCCUACGAAAAUACGUUGAUGAGCUGCUAUUAGCCCUUCCGAAGGACAAGAUAGAUGAGACCCUAGAAAUGUUCAAUGGCUACAACCCACACAUUCAGUUUGUAAAAGAGGAAGAACAAAGAAAUCAGCUCCCAUUCCUAGACACAACAGUGAUUCGCAAUUCAGAUCAAUCGCUAAACACACAAUGGUAUUCAAAAUCUAUCGCAUCUGGCCGAUUAUUUAACUAUUUUUUCCUUACACCCGAUGCACAUGAAAAUCAACGUCGCCUCCAACUUCAUAAGACGAGUGACAUCCCUCACUACCAACCAAUCGUUUGCCGAACAGAAUAAUUUAAUUUUGCGCCAGAUCGACUAUCCAACAUCACUUAUAAACAGAUUGCUUAGCCAAAAAACCGUUCCACAAUCACCAUCCGAGAGCUCACUGGAUACAAAACAAACCGCCAAAACAGACGAAACAACGUACCGGUCCCUACCAUACAUCCCGAUGCUGACCAACACACUCCUUCGAAGCCUAAAAACAAACUAUCCUAACGUCAAAAUUACCCCAAAAACAAUCAAACCAUCUUCAAUGUUGCUAAACAACAUUAAAGAUCCCGUUGAUCCCUCACUAUGUUGCAAUGUUAUUUACAGCAUCCCAUGUGGUGUGUGUGAUAUGAUAUAUAUUGGUAUGAUGAAAAAUCAACUAAAAACAAGACUUAGCGGGCACCCGACCAAUAUUACAAAAUAUAAUAAAUUGAUCGAAGCAGGAAAAACCAACACAGAUAUCGUUAUGAUCGAAUUUGGAGUAAAAACAGUUGUCAUUCUUCACAGCUUCCAACACCAACACGAUUUUGACUUGACCGCAACCAAAAUUAUCGACAGAACCUAUCACUCAUCAACGUUACCAGUGCUGGAGAUGUGUCAUAUAGUUAACACACCCAACAAGUCAUAUAUACCAGGCCUGACAAAAAAAAACGUAGAAUGGCAGUCACCAGCAAACUAUUAUCCAGUGCAAGCACGCCAAUCACUUCUAUAGUAUCCGCCAAGUAUAGACCUCUGGAUACUUCUGCGAUCGUCUCGGCGUCACUUCCCGGUCUCACCAUAACACCUGUAAGUGUCUUAGAUUCAAUAGCAAUUAAAGCCAAGCCGGCUAUGAGCAGUUAUACGAGUAAUUCCUCGUCCUUUAUACCUAACACACCAAUUGUAUUUGCUAACUUGACAAAUUCGAGAGCAGUUACUGAAUUAUUACAAAUGUAUUUUAAAGCCUUUUCAAACAGUAACCAGGGAGAUUCACUUAAUUGCGCUGAAUUUCUAACAGAUAGUACAAUUGCCAAUAAAUCAAGUGCUUCAUGUGUCGCACCAAAGGCUGAUUCAUCCAAACCUCCAUCAGAUGAACCGUAAAUAUAUUGAUAUU